rnacentral:lncRNA from 1 species
GGGAGUGGUGGGGGCUGCUUUGGGACCGGUGAAGUAGAAAGGUCCGACGCUAAAGAUCUUCAAGUUCUUGUCAGAGUGGUAACGGUGUCCGUACAUCGACAAUGGAACUCCAGUGAGACCCUUGUUAACAUUGGUCGGGUUCUUGCAAGUCUCAACCGGAGAUGUGUAGAGCUUGACACGACAAUGAAGUAGGUUCUUGAUGAUGUCGGUCAAGGCCACGUGGAAGUACCCCUUAGAGCCAGUUGGAUCGCUGUAGAUCACAACAUCUUUCUUCCCGUAUGAUCCUGGCUCGGAGCACACAAUCAUUGCCUUUGCUCCUAUAUGAAUUCAAUUAACCGAGUUUUCAGAUUAGUUUUUUUUUUGUAAUCAUAGAUAUUUAAUUGGGGAAUGUAUUUAUACCUUGAAUUGGGUAGGUUUCAUAACCGUUUUUGCAAAGAAUGAUGCCAUCAACAACUUUAAGAAUCUCUGGAACAUAUGGCUUGGUGGGAGGAGUGUAAGUUGGCUUUGAGACAUAUGGCUUGGUGGGAGGAGUGUAUGUUGGUUUUGGAACAUAUGACUUGGUGGGAGGAGUGUAGGUUGGCUUUGGGACAUAUGGCUUGGUGGGUGGAGUGUAGGUUGGCUUUGGGACAUAUGGCUUGGUGGGUGGAGAGUAGGUUGGUUUUGGGACAUAUGGCUUGGUGGGAGGUGUGUAUGUUGGUUUUGGAACAUAUGGCUUGGUGGGUGGAGUGUAGGUUGGCUUUGGGACAUAUGGCUUGGUGGGUGGAGAGUAGGUUGGUUUUGGGACAUAUGGCUUGGUGGGUGGAGUGUAUGUUGGUUUUGGGACAUAUGAAGGAUGAGGAUAGCUAGGAGACUUUUUGUAGACCGGAGGAGGGAGAGUUGGCUUGUAAACCGGCGGAGUGUAGACUGGAGGUGGAAGGGUUGGCUUGUAAACUGGUGGAGUGUAAACUGGAGGUGGGAGUGUAGGCUUGGGGAUGUAAACCGGAGGGGAAAGCGUGGGUUUGUAUUCUGGUGAUUGGUGAACCGGAGGAGAUGAGGGAGAGUAGUAAGCAGUGGCUAUGGUGGCCAGAGAAAAGAAGAGGCAAAUGGCCAAGGAGGUGCUUUUUAUCGCCAUUGUAGAGAGCAUACCUGUCUUUUGCCUUACGCUAGUUGUGUUUUGUGUGUUCAAGUGGAAUAAGGAGAAUUAUUACAUCAAAUGGGGUUUUUAUAAGAAAAUGUUAACGAGUAAUGAAGAAUUUAAAAAUGUUAUCAUCACAAGUGAAUAAUAAAAGAUCAUGUUUUGGUAUUCAUAUUAGUGUGACGCACGAUCAAAAAAUCAUGCUCCCCAUUCAUAUCCAUACACGCGGUCACCCACCAAAAAGCUGUAUGUGAGCACUGAAAAAGACGUUAAUUAACUUUUUUUUUGGGGCAACCGGACGCUCGUUAACUAAUAAUAUUAAUCAUGAUACGUACGAUGCAACUUGUUCACAGAUCAGAACAAGCUUGUUCAUGACUUGAUGAUUGAGCAUGCCAUUUCCAAUAUGGACUUGAACCCAAUGCCUAUAAUUUUGGAAUGAAAAUUGAUUAGAAAAGAUUCCUUAAGCUCGUUUAUAGUUGACAAUAUUAUAGCAUAACAACUAUGGCUGUAACUGGAUGUUAAUAAAAAGAAUAAGUGGAACUAAAGGAAUAAUAAUCAAUGGAAUCCAAUGGAAUGAAAUUAUUAUUCCACUUAUUCGAGACAGUCCCAGUCCUGACAUAAAAAAUAACUACAAACAAUUUUUUUUAAAAAAAUUGGCCACUUUUAUAAAUUUUAUAGAUAAUUUUUUUUUCAAAAAACUGAUUUAUGCAAGUAUUUUUUUGGGCUGUAGGGUGCUUGUAAUGUUUCUCUUCGGACCGACACUGAUUCCAAAACUAUUUUGAUGUGGAAUGAUUUUUCAUAUGAAUGUUGUUGUUAUUCUUUUGGAACUGGAAUGGUUGAAAUAUUCUUUUUUGUUUUUAUUGUAACUGGUGAACAUUUUGUGAAAUGAAAAGAAAUUAAGUAUCCAUGAAGUUUUUAUUCUAAAAAUGCAUUCUAGUGCACCCGUAGAACAAACUCAAAAUUUGAUUAAGUUAAUCUUGGAAAACUUGCGCAGCAAGACCCUCGAGUUCGAUAAUAUUUAUUAUACGUUGACCAACUAAUUAGUCAUCCAGCUAGCACUGAUCAACUUGUCUGCAAUAUAAGAAAUACUGAUUCUAUGAUGUUAUAUAUAUAUAUAUAUACACAAGGGCUAGACUUGGUUCCACGAUUAAAUUAGUGCCGAUUCAUAGUGUUCGUGUGAUUUUCGUAUUGUAUAAUUAUAUCGUGCAACCAAUCUAUGGUUAAUGACAGUUUAGCAUCAGACUCGUAAACUAUGGUUUCUAAUUGGGUCCAUAAAGAGAAAUAGUUUUUUUUUUUUAAAGCAACAUAAAGAGAAGUAGUUGUUCAUAGAUUCUUUAGACACAAGUCCACACAGCAUUCACAACAGAAGAAGAAACGACGUUCUAUCUUGAGAACAAUCAACAAAUUACAAACAAUCUCUACCAAAGUAACUUUUAUAAUAAUGACGACAAAAUUUCUUGUUAGUAUUAAAUUUCUUAUAUAUUUUAUAUAAGCAGUCGCGUAGAUCAAACAAAGACGUUCCUCAGAUAAUUUUCUUAAAUACAAUUUGGAAAACAUAACAUAACCAAAAAGAACGGUUGCAUCGGUAAUGCAAUGAAUCAAAUGAAAUUGGUACAGAGAAACACAGGAACAUUUAGAAGGGAAAAGUUUCGAAACAAAAAAAUUGACCAACGUGACCUCAUAUCAUGCAAGAUCAUCACCAUAUAAUGUGAUCAUCAGUAUUUGGGAAUGGUGGGGGCUGCUUUGGGACCGGUGAAGUAGAAAGGUCCGACGCUAAAGAUCUUCAAGUUCUUGUCGGAGUGGUAACGGUAUCCGUACAUAGACAAUGGAACUCCGGUCAGACCCUUGUUGACAUUGGUUGGGUUCUUGCAAGUCUCAACUGGAGAUGUGUAGAGCUUGACACGACAGUGAAGUAGGUUCUUGAUGAUGUCGGUCAACGCCACGUGGAAGUAUCCCUUAGAGUCAGUUGGAUCGCUGUAGAUCACAACAUCCUUCUUCCCGUAUGAUCCGGGCUCAGAGCACACGAUCUUUGCCUUGGCUCCUACAUGAAUUUCAUUAACCAUGUUUUCAGAUUAGAAAUACUUUUUUUUUGUAAUUUUUUCAUAGAUAUUUGAUUAUGGAAGAUUAAGUAUGUAUUUAUACCUUGAAUUGGGUAGGUUUCAUAACCGUUUUUGCAAAGAAUGAUGCCAUCAACAACUUUAAGAAUCUCUGGAACAUAUGGCUUGGUGGGAGGAGUGUAAGUUGGCUUUGAGACAUAUGGCUUGGUGGGAGGAGUGUAUGUUGGUUUUGGAACAUAUGACUUGGUGGGAGGAGUGUAGGUUGGCUUUGGGACAUAUGGCUUGGUGGGUGGAGUGUAGGUUGGCUUUGGGACAUAUGGCUUGGUGGGUGGAGAGUAGGUUGGUUUUGGGACAUAUGGCUUGGUGGGAGAUGUGUAUGUUGGUUUUGGAACAUAUGGCUUGGUGGGUGGAGUGUAGGUUGGCUUUGGGACAUAUGGCUUGGUGGGAGGAGUGUAUACGGGAGGUGGAAGAGUUGGUUUGGUGUAGACCGGAGGGGGAAGGGUUGGCUUGUAAACAGGUGGAGUGUAAACUGGAGGUGGGAGUGUAGGCUUGGGGAUGUAAACCGGAGGGGGAAGCGUGGGUUUGUAUUCUGGUGAUUGGUGAACCGGAGGAGAUGAGGGAGAGUAGUAAGCAGUGGCUAUGGUGGCCAAAGAAAAGAGGAGGCAAAUGGCCAAGGAGGUGCUUUUUAUCGCCAUUGCUGAGAGUGUGGCCUUUCUUUUACCUUACGCUAGUUCUUUUGUUUGUUUCUAAGUGGGAUG